rnacentral:lncRNA from 10 species
CAUUAGUGUACUGAUUAAAUAAAUUAUGAUACCUUCAUAUAAUGGUAGCUUUUUAUAUACCGAUUUGUGUGCAGUAGUCACCAAGUUAUAUGACAGAAGUGAGUUGGAAAACAGUGUGUAUUGUAUACUAUCAUUCCUGGGAAAAUAUUUCUUUAAAUACACACUUGGUUUAUGCUUAGAACAUCUGUGAAAGGACAUGCAAGAGAUGGAUAACAGUGGUUCUCUAAAUAGGGAAACUGGGGACCAGGUAAGAAGGAGUCAUACUUUCAAUGUAUAUG